rnacentral:tRNA from 1 species
GCCCGGAUGGUGGAAUCGGUAGACAUCAAGGGAUUUAAAAUCCCUCGGCGUUCGCGCUGUGCGGGUUCAAGUCCCGCUCCGGGUACCA